rnacentral:rRNA from 1 species
GACAGAGGGUGCAAACGUUGCUCGGAAUCACUGGGCGUAAAGAGCUCGUAGGCGGUUUGUCGCGUCUGCUGUGAAAACUCGGGGCUUAACUCCGGGCCUGCAGUGGGUACGGGCAGACUAGAGUGCGGUAGGGGAGACUGGAAUUCCUGGUGUAGCGGUGAAAUGCGCAGAUAUCAGGAGGAACACCGGUGGCGAAGGCGGGUCUCUGGGCCUUACCUGACGCUGAGGAGCGAAAGCUGGGGGAGCGAACAGG